UGUAUAUAUAUAUAUAUAUAUAUAGUGUGUGUGUGUGUGUGUGUGCGUGUGUGUGUGUGUGUGUGUGUGUGUCAACAUGUCUCUUUCAAUCUCUCACUCUUGUCAAUCUCUCUCACAAACGCACACACAUGCACACACAUACAUGGCCAUAUG